rnacentral:rRNA from 1 species
UACGUAGGUGGCGAGCGUUGUCCGGAAUUACUGGGCGUAAAGGGUGCGUAGGCGGAUAAUUAAGUCAGAUGUGAAAUCCCUGGGCUCAACCCGGGAAUAGCAUUUGAAACUGGAUAUCUGGAGUGCAGGAGAGGAAAGCGGAAUUCCUAGUGUAGCGGUGAAAUGCGUAGAUAUUAGGAAGAACACCAGUGGCGAAGGCGGCUUUCUGGACUGUAACUGACGCUGAGGCACGAAAGCGUGGGGAGCAAACAGGAUUAGAUACCCUGGUAGUCCACGCUGUAAACGAUGAGUGCUAGGUGUAGGAGGUAUCGACACCUUCUGUGCCGCAGUAAACGCAAUAAGCACUCCGCCUGGGGAGUACGGUCGCAAGACUAAA